UUCAGGCCUAACACAUGCAAGUCGAACGAACCCUUCGGGGUGAGUGGCGCACGGGUGCGUAACGCGUGGGAACCUGCCUUUAGGUUCAGAAUAACAGUUAGAAAUGACUGCUAAUACCGGAUAAUGUCUUCGGACCAAAGAUUUAUCGCCUUUAGAUGGGCCCGCGUUAGAUUAGAUAGUUGGUGGGGUAAUGGCCUACCAAGUCGACGAUCUAUAGCUGGUCUGAGAGGAUGAUCAGCCACACUGGGACUGAGACACGGCCCAGACUCCUACGGGAGGCAGCAGUGGGGAAUAUUGGACAAUGGGCGAAAGCCUGAUCCAGCAAUGCCGCGUGAGUGAUGAAGGCCUUAGGGUUGUAAAGCUCUUUUACCAGGGAUGAUAAUGACAGUACCGGAGAAUAAGCUCCGGCU
rnacentral:rRNA from 1 species